rnacentral:rRNA from 1 species
GUUAGGAAUCUUCCACAAUGGGGGCAACCCUGAUGGAGCAACACCGCGUGCUGGAUGAAGGCCUUCGGGUCGUAAACAGCUUUUGUAUACGAAGAAUAUGACGGUAAUAUACGAAUAAGGGUCGGCUAACUACGUGCCAGCAGCCGCGGUCAUACGUAGGACCCAAGCGUUAUCCGGAGUGACUGGGCGUAAAGAGUUGCGUAGGCGGCUUAUUAAGCGAGUAGUGAGAUCUGGUGGCUCAACCAUCAACACAUUGCUCGAACUGAUAGGCUUGAGAAUGGUAGAGGUAGUUGGAAUUUCUUGUGUAGGAGUGAAAUCCGUAGAUAUAAGAAGGAACACCAAUGGCGUAGGCAGACUACUGGACCAUUUCUGACGCUGAGGCACGAAAGCGUGGGGAGCGAACCGGAUUAGAAACCCUAGUAGUCC